rnacentral:rRNA from 1 species
UGGGGAAUUUUGGACAAUGGGCGAAAGCCUGAUCCAGCAACGCCGCGUGAGUGAUGAAGGCCUUCGGGUCGUAAAGCUCUGUCGGAGGGAAAGAAUAAGGGUGUCCUAACACGACAUCCGAUGACGGUACCCUCAAAGGAAGCAACGGCUAACUCUGUGCCAGCAGCCGCGGUAAGACAGAGGUUGCAAGCGUUGUUCGGAAUCACUGGGCGUAAAGGGCGUGUAGGCGGCGGAGUGUGUCUGACGUGAAAUCCCUCGGCUUAACCGGGGAACGGCGUCGGAAACUGCUUUGCUUGAGUGCGAGAGAGGAUGGCAGAAUUCCCAGAGUAGAGGUGAAAUUCGUAGAUACUGGGAGGAAUACCUGAGGCGAAGGCGGCCAUCUGGUUCGUAACUGACGCUGAGACGCGAAAGCGUGGGGAGCAAACAGG